UCCGAGUUGACCCCGGCAGUCUCCUACGAGUCCCCACCAUUACGUGCUGGCAACUAAGGACAAGGGUUGCGCUCGUUGCGGGACUUAACCCAACAUCUCACGACACGAGCUGACGACAGCCAUGCAGCACCUGUGUUCGAGUUCCCGAAGGCACCAAUCCAUCUCUGGAAAGUUCUCGACAUGUCAAGGCCAGGUAAGGUUCUUCGCGUUGAACGGUUGGUU
rnacentral:misc_RNA from 1 species